rnacentral:misc_RNA from 1 species
AAUAGAGGGAGGGUGAGUCAUCGAAUCUUUGAACGCACAUUGCGCCCUCUGGUAUUCCGGAGGGCAUGCCUGUUCGAGCGUCAUUUCAACCCUCAAGCAUUGCUUGGUGUUGGGGCACCGCCUGUAAAAGGGCGGGCCCUGAAAUCUAGUGGCGAGCUCGCCAGGACCCCGAGCGUAGUAAUUAUAUUUCGUUCUGGAAGGCCCUGGCGGUGCCCUGCCGUUAAACCCCCAACUUCUGAAAAUUUGACCUCGGAUCAGGUAGGAAUACCCGCUGAACUUAAGCAUAUCAAUAAGCGGAGG